rnacentral:rRNA from 1 species
UACGGAGGGUGCAAGCGUUGCUCGGAAUUACUGGGCGUAAAGCGUACGCAGGCGGUCUGAUAAGUCGGGUGUGAAAGCCCCGGGCUCAACCCGGGAACGGCAUCCGAAACUGCCAGACUAGAGUUCGGGAGAGGGAAGUGGAAUUCCUGGUGUAGAGGUGAAAUUCGUUGAUAUCAGGAGGAACACCGGCGGCGAAAGCGGCUUCCUGGCCCGAUACUGACGCUCAUGUACGAAAGCGUGGGGAGCAAACAGG